CCUACGGGGGGCUGCAGUAAGGAAUAUUGGACAAUGGUCGAAAGACUGAUCCAGCCAUGCCGCGUGAAGGAUGAAGGCCCUAUGGGUUGUAAACUUCUUUUGUACGGGAAAAAACCCUCGCUCGUGAGCGAGGCUGAUUGUACUGUAAGAAUAAGGAUCGGCUAACUCCGUGCCAGCAGCCGCGGUAAUACGGAGGAUCCAGGCGUUAUCCGGAUUCAUUGGUGUUAAGGGGUACUUGGGCGGAAGUGUUGAAAUCUCUCGGCUUAACCGAGAAACUGCCAUUGAUACUGCAAAUCUUGAGUACAGUUGAGGUGGGCGGAAUGUGUCAUGUAGCGGUGAAAUGCUUAGAUAUGACACAGAACACCGAUUGCGAAGGCAGCUCACAAAACUGUAACUGACGCUGAGGCACGAAAGCGUGGGUAUCAAACAGGAUUAGAUACCCGUGUAGUC
rnacentral:rRNA from 1 species